rnacentral:lncRNA from 1 species
UACUAACAUCCUUCAUAAAGCUGAUGAGACCCUCCGAAGAACCAUCUCUCAGACGAUGAGGGAAGCCAAAGUGUGAGAGCGCAUGUGGGCUUCCAGAUGGCGCUCAUAAGCAGAUGCAAACGGACAUAAGUGACAUCGAUGAGGCUUCUCGCCUGUUUGAGAGAGACAUGGAAGAAACUGCAGGAGCAGCUCACUUAUAGGACUUUUUAUGUUUGUCCACUGGAUGUGAGAACUUAAAAAAUAAAAUGCUUUGCAGAAAUGC